AAUACUUGUCGCUUUGAGUUUUUGUUUGUAAUUUUUGAUCAUUCGUCUUAUUCAAAAAAUUAUGAAAUUAUUAUUUAUUUUGUUGGUGACUUGCUUUAUUAUCAAAAGCACUUUAAGUAUGACUUAUCCUUUUUUACAUUUGCAUUAAUUUUUCAAAUAAGACGAAUGGUCAAACAUUACAAGAAAAAAGUGAAAACGGCCACUAAU
rfam:Oryza sativa Japonica Group DNA, chromosome 6, cultivar: Nipponbare, complete sequence.